rnacentral:rRNA from 1 species
UACAGAGGGGGCAAGCGUUGUUCGGAAUUACUGGGCGUAAAGGGCGCGUAGGCGGCCUGCUAAGUCGAACGUGAAAUCCCCGGGCUCAACCCGGGAACUGCGUCCGAAACUGGCAGGCUUGAAUCCGGGAGAGGGAUGUGGAAUUCCAGGUGUAGCGGUGAAAUGCGUAGAUAUCUGGAGGAACACCGGUGGCGAAGGCGGCAUUCUGGACUGUAACUGACACUGAUGAACGAAAGCCAGGGGAGCAAACGGG